UACAGAGGUCUCAAGCGUUGUUCGGAUUCAUUGGGCGUAAAGGGUGCGUAGGCGGCGCGGUAAGUCGGGUGUGAAAUCUCGGAGCUUAACUCCGAAACUGCAUUCGAUACUGCCGUGCUUGAGGACUGGAGAGGAGACUGGAAUUUACGGUGUAGCGGUGAAAUGCGUAGAUAUCGUAAGGAAGACCAGUGGCGAAGGCGGGUCUCUGGACAGUUCCUGACGCUGAGGCGCGAAGGCCAGGGGAGCAAACGGGG
rnacentral:rRNA from 1 species